GAUGCCCCUCAAGAUGGCUGUGCCUGUCAGCUGCAUGGAGCUUCGUUCAAGUAUUUUCUGAGCCUGAUGGAUUUACAGUGAUCUUCAGUGGUCUGGGGAAUAACGCUGGUGGAACCAUGCACUGGAAUGACACACGCCCGGCACAUUUCAGGAUACUAAAAGUGGUUUUAAGGGAGGCUGUGGCUGAAUGCCUCAUGGAUUCUUACAGCUUGGAUGUCCAUGGGGGACGAAGGACUGCAGCUGGCUGAGAGGGUUGAGAUCUCUGUUUACUUAGAUCUCUGCCAACUUCCUUUGGGUCUCCCUAUGGAAUGUAAGACCCCGACUCUUCCUGGUGAAGCAUCUGAUGCACGUUCCAUCCGGCGCUCAGCUGGGCUUGAGAUUCCUGGGAACACCACCAUGGAGGGCCUGGCCUUUGGCGGUGGACAGUCUGUGGCUGGGUGGGAACGUCAGGA
rnacentral:lncRNA from 1 species